rnacentral:rRNA from 1 species
CUUGACGACCAUAGAGCAUUGGAACCACCUGAUCCCAUCCCGAACUCAGUAGUGAAACGAUGUAUCG